rnacentral:lncRNA from 12 species
GCAAGUAGCCGAGCAGAGGAAGGCCCUGCUCCACAGGUUCCCCAGGAGACCCCGGGAGGGGCAGAAGCGCACCUGGAAGGAAGACACAGAAUCUUGUGAUUAUGUGAGGGAGCUUCCACUGUGACCCCACAGCAGCAGGACUUCUAUCGCCUCAUGAGCAGAGCGGAUGGAAGAGCCGGUCCAAUGGAGGAAGCAUGGAUGUGAAGCAGGACCUUUGUGUGCUCCUCCCUGAUGUCAAAAGUGCAUCAACAGCAUCCUGUCAUGCCUUUGUUCUGGACCAGCCCUGCAGCCGGAUUCCCUACUCCUAGCGUCCACACAUGCAGAUGCCCGUCUACACCACCAGGAGGACUUCUAUCCCUGAGCCUGCCCUGCUGAUGGAACCACGUACUGAGAACCCUGACACUCCAGACAAGAAAUAUGCCCAGAUGCCCCUAGACAUGUUCCUGAACCUCCAAAAGAAAGCAGGAUGGAGCCCCUCUGAACACACCCCCAAGAUCAUCCAGGGAGCCCCUGUGGGGUUUUUGGAGAAUGUGUGUCCUCCAGCAAGCAGAUGUGCACGUGGAUGCACAGCUGUGCCCCCACAGACCAGGAAGACACCUGCCCUCUUGCCAAGAAUGACCCCCAGCCCACACCUGCCACACCUCACCUGGAAACGCUGCUGCCGUGCACUGUGCCCCCUGGCCGUCCUCUGUGCGGGCCCCCACUCAGCCCCUGAGAAUGGUCUUCACCAGAUUGGACACGGGCUGCUGGAGCUCCAGGUUCCUAGCAGCUCCCUCAUUCCAUCCUCCGGAGAAGCCAGGCCCUGCUCAGGGCCCUCCUGCCACCCACAUGUUGGGCGGAGCCUGUGUCUGUGUCCCCUGGAGUGUCCACGAUGACCUGCAGCUGUCCUCAUCCUCAGAAGACACAGAGAGGGAAUGAGCCAGCUCCUGGCCUCGGUCACUUGUCCUCCACCCCACAGGACACUGACAAGUGUCUGUGGACCUGAAGAGAUGGCCCACUCCUGGACUCAUGUGGGGAAUCCGCACUUGCUCAGCUGCACCGCAUGGAAAAUUUCAGGUCCACAGCGUCCUGACUCGUGUUCCUGGGGCCCGUGCUCAGAUGCCCACCCCUCAACAGACAGUGUACUUUUCUUUAGGGAAAUCCAUGCGCUGUGGCAAAGGCUACUCUUCCCUGUGGAAUGUCAAGUUGUUCUUCUGGAGAUACGUUACCUAUGAAAUGGAGGGAGGUUUGAGUGAGCACUUGUCACUUCAAUGGAAAUAAAAUCUAAGAUGUUGAGCUCUCUUUGGUUUUC